GAUGAACGCUGGCGGCGUGCCUAAUACAUGCAAGUCGAGCGAACAGACGAGGAGCUUGCUCCUCUGACGUUAGCGGCGGACGGGUGAGUAACACGUGGAUAACCUACCUAUAAGACUGGGAUAACUUCGGGAAACCGGAGCUAAUACCGGAUAAUAUAUUGAACCGCAUGGUUCAAUAGUGAAAGACGGUUUUGCUGUCAUUUAUAGAUGGAUCCGCGCCGCAUUAGCUAGUUGGUAAGGUAACGGCUUACCAAGGCAACGAUGCGUAGCCGACCUGAGAGGGUGAUCGGCCACACUGGAACUGAGACACGGUCCAGACUCCUACGGGAGGCAGCAGUAGGGAAUCUUCCGCAAUGGGCGAAAGCCUGACGGAGCAACGCCGCGUGAGUGAUGAAGGUCUUCGGAUCGUAAAACUCUGUUAUUAGGGAAGAACAAAUGUGUAAGUAACUAUGCACGUCUUGACGGUACCUAAGCAGAAAGCCACGGCUAACUACGU
rnacentral:rRNA from 1 species